GUACGAUGCUCGUAAUGUUUCGUAAUGCCUCGCAAUGAUUUCCAUUGUCCUUUAAACGGCUCUAAUGUUAAAGUCAGUAUGUGUUAAAUGGUUUCAGACUUUGUUACGCUUCUGUGUUUCUAAAAAUCGUGAAAAUGAAAUUUUGUUUUUCGUGACUCGUGAAAUCGAAAAAUGAUCUUCGUGAUUUCGUGACGAGACCCCCCCCCCUUGCCCUCUGGGAAAACGAUUUUACUUAGUUUGUCGGCCGAACAGAGCGUUUGAUGAGAAUGGAUGGAAAGGAAUGGAUCAAAUUGUUCGAUCUAGAAAGUACUAAAUGUUGCCUUUUAAUUCUUCAAACGCGAAAACGGUUACAGCAGUGCAAGCUAAAUUAGUCACCUGACAAC